ensembl:lncRNA
UCACUUGGUGUCAUCGCCAUCAGCUUUUGCCCCACAGCUCCCAUCUCCAUCCAUCCUCACACCGAGAGUGGGACCGACAGCUACGUAGUCUCCAUGGAUGUGCCCGUAAGACAAAGAAGAACCCAAGUAGGAGCAAAAGCUGCAGCAAACAAUAGCCUGCCUGAAAUCACACAACAGGAUCAGUACCUCUAUGAGAAUAGGAUCUGCUGGAAAACACCCUGAACGCAGAUCCCCAGUUGUUUCCUCCUUAACGUUCCACUCUUGAAUGCUCCUUUCCUAAUCCAUCUUUAUGCUGAUAUAUCUGCAAGGAACAACCCGAGCACCCAGAGAUGCAGCCCAGCCUUCAGCCCUCUGGUGAGGACCACCCAACUGUGUUGGGGCCAUUUCAGAUGUCCCCAUGAAGUUGAACCCUGUCUGCGUCAUCCCCUGCUCAUCCAGAGCUGACUCAGAGCUGACUCAUUGAGUGCUACCAGCACCCUGUGUUUAAUGGUAGUAAGUCUUGGUUAAAUAAGUCUGGGGGCUCAUUUCUUUUCCAUUUUCUUCUAAAGCAGCUGAACAGGGCAGUGUGCAUCUCAUUGUGUUUGGGGAUCCCAAUAGCUUUGACUACAUCCAUUUUGCUCUUUCAUCUGGGAAAGAAAUUGCUAUUUCUUACUUUGACAUUCAGGUUGGAUUUUGUUUUGUGAAAAGAUGUGAACAAUUUCUUCCUUCCCUGCGAUGUCAGACCCAGAAAAGCAUUAUUAGGAG